rnacentral:lncRNA from 1 species
UGUUCUUUUCUGUAAUAUGAUCUUUUUCCAUCUCAUUCUCAGAUGAACUGAAGCUCCUCCAACCACCGUGGCUGCACCAACCACUCUGCAGGUUACCAACGUGUCCGUGGCAGGGCAGAAAUUGGACCAGGAGAUAUCAUGGACUAGGACACAGGGACAGGCUGUCUCCUUCAGCUGCAAAGAUACUUACCAGUGUACAACGUUUGUCUACUGGUACCAGAAGAAGGAGGGAGAACCUUUUACCUUGAUUCUUGACAUCCAAAAGGAUAACUGCGCUGUCGAUGCAAGUUACAACCAUCCUCAAAAAGAUGACUUCUCAGCAACAAGUAUGAAUAACAACUGUGAUCUAAAAAUCCAGUCUGUUAAAGUCUCCCAUUCUGCCACCUACUACUGUGCCUGCUGGAACCCACAGUGACAACACAUCCAUUCACCCUGUACAAAAACUCUGGUUUUAGUCAAGCUGUGAAUUUAUAAAAAUUAAAAAACAUAAUCAGAGGAACAUUUUUAGAUGUCUCUCCCAGCUGGUGUUUCAUCUCUCAUCUUCAUAAUCGACUAUAUGAUGAAAACCAUACUUCAGUAAAGAUCUGUG